GCAUGGCGGCAGCUACACAUGCAGUCGAGCGGUAACAGAUCCAGCUUGCUGGAUGCUGACGAGCGGCGGACGGGUGAGUAAUGCAUAGGAAUCUGCCCGAUAGUGGGGGAUAACCUGGGGAAACCCAGGCUAAUACCGCAUACGUCCUACGGGAGAAAGGGGGCUUCGGCUCCCGCUAUCGGAUGAGCCUAUGUCGGAUUAGCUAGUUGGUGAGGUAACGGCUCACCAAGGCCACGAUCCGUAGCUGGUCUGAGAGGAUGAUCAGCCACAUCGGGACUGAGACACGGCCCGAACUCCUACGGGAGGCAGCAGUGGGGAAUAUUGGACAAUGGGGGGAACCCUGAUCCAGCCAUGCCGCGUGUGUGAAGAAGGCCCUCGGGUUGUAAAGCACUUUCAGCGAGGAAGAACGCCUAGCGGUUAAUACCCGCUAGGAAAGACAUCACUCGCAGAAGAAGCACCGGCUAACUCCGUGCCAGCAGCCGCGGUAAUACGGAGGGUGCAAGCGUUAAUCGGAAUUACUGGGCGUAAAGCGCGCGUAGGUGGCUUGAUAAGCCGGUUGUGAAAGCCCCGGGCUCAACCUGGGAACGGCAUCCGGAACUGUCAAGCUAGAGUGCAGGAGAGGAAGGUAGAAUUCCCGGUGUAGCGGUGAAAUGCGUAGAGAUCGGGAGGAAUACCAGUGGCGAAGGCGGCCUUCUGGACUGACACUGACACUGAGGUGCGAAAGCGUGGGUAGCAAACAGGAUUAGUCCUUUG
rnacentral:rRNA from 1 species